CCUCAGUGGCAGAACACAGGGCAAUCCUGUGUCACCAGGUUUACCUCAGUGGCAGAGAACAGGGCAGUCCUGGGUCACCAGGUUUACCUCAGUGGCAGAACACAGGGCAAUCCUGUGUCACCAGGUUUACCUCAGUGGCAGAACACAGGGCAGUCCUGUGUCACCAAGUUUACCUCAGUGGCAGAACACAGGGCAGUCCUGUGGUCACCAGGUUUACCUCAGUGGCAGAACACAGGGCAGUCCUGUGGUCACCAGGUUUACCUCAGUGGCAGAGAACAGGGCAGUACUGGGUCACCAGGUUUACCCCAGUGGCAGAACACAGGGCAGUCCUGUAGUGGACACAGACGGAUGGACCCAGAACACAGGGCAGU